GCCCAGAUGAGCAUCGGUGGUUCCGGUGUGCGGGCUUCAAACCCGUAGCUGACGAGAGUCAGAGUGGUUCAAUUCCACCCUCUGGGCG